AAGGAAUGAGAGUAAGAGAGAGCAGGUGACUAUGCCUCUAUGUUCUGCAUGAGCUGCAGUUGUGGAGGAAAAAGAGAAGACAUAUGUAGAACACAAAACAGGGAGAGGACACAGAGGAAAAGUAGAAGGAUUUGGGCUGACACCUUCUUCGAAUCUUUGGAUCGAAACCUUCAAAAGGCAAGUUUCCCGAUCGUUUCUCCUGUAAUUGUUCUAAUUUUUCUUAUUGCAAGUAUUAUGAUCUUCUUCGUGCAAGUGUUCUUAUCUUUCCUAUUGCAAGUGUUCCGAUCCUUCCUAUUGCAAGCUUUCUAAUCUUUCCUAUUGCAAGUGUCCUAAUCUUUCCUUACUGCAAUUUUAUCUCUACAUUUGAUUUGAAUAUGAGGAACUUUGAAUUGUUCUAGCCUUACAUUUGAUAUAUCUUUUGUUUAGACAUAUCGAUCCGAAUCUAUGCAACUUCUGAGAUUCUGACCUUUCUACCUUGCUAUGAUUAUAACUUCAUGUAUUGACCUUCGAUUUGGACAAAACUUAUCUGAUCGGAAUAUAGACUCAUAAACCUUUCUUUUGAUAGCUUUAUUGAGUAUAUUGGAGCACGAUUGAUAGUUUGAAUCAUUUCUUCAAUGUGUCUCUUGAAUUCUGCCAAAAAUCGAGCUUUGGUCGAUUUCGCAUAUUCUGGUUUCAUUCCUUUGAAAAUUGAUAUCCUUUGGCUUUCUUAUUCAAUUAAGCUUUAUAUUACUACUUUGAAUUCUUGUAUGCUCUUGUCCUUAAAAUUAUUUGUAUUCUUGAAAACUAUUGUGUAACGUUUAUGCUAUAUCGUAUUGACUCAUAUAGGCUAAUGUAUAUCCCAUUGUUCAGCAUUUGCUUUCGAUAUGUGCCUAUUCCAGUUUCAUUCCUUUGGACAUUGAAUUCUUCUAACCAUCUUAAUUGAAUUGAGUUAUAUGUGAUUGCUUGGAAUCCUAGAAUGCUCUUGCUUUUAUUUCCUUUCAAAUCUGAAUACAAUUGUGAAAGAUUAUUGCUUACUUCGUAUUGACUCGUAAAGGCACAUGUACGUUUUGUUGUUCCGCGUGUGCUUCCGAUAUGUGCUAUUCAUUGUUCAUACUAUCCUUUUGUACUCUAGUGUUGUGGGAUAUUGUGAACCUUUGCCAGAAAUGAUGAAGGGAGUUAUACAUAGAGCUUGUGAUGCUCUGCCGGCCCUUAUGACUUCACUCAGACGUGGGUGGAUGGAGCUCCCAAACGUGGGAGACCUCCUAGACGUGGGAGACUUAUGUUUGGUGGUCAUUCAGAAAUGGAUGUACCAUAUUAUGUUAUGGACCCACUUCACCUUCUGUAUGUUUGAUAUGAUAUCCAGAGCUUUGGUUAUGUGUUUCUAUACGUGCUUUGGAUAAGAAUGAUAUGAAUGCAACGUCAAAUUCGACGUUUGAGCUUCUGUUUCACAUUCGUUAUUGAUAUGCUCUAAAAUAUUUCCUAUGCCAUUGAUAUACUACGAAAUGCUUCACAUACCAUUGAUAUAUUCCGAAAUAUUUCAUUUGUCAUUAAUAUGCUCUGAAACAUUUCAUACGCCUUUGAUAUGCUCCGAAAUGUUUCAUUUGCUAUUGUUAUGCUCCUAAUGUUCCAUUUGUCAUUGAUAUGCUCCGAAACAUUUUAUACGCCUUUGAUAUGCUCCGUAAUGUUUCAUUUGCUAUUGUUAUACUUCGAAAGGUUCUAUAUGUAGUUGAUAUGCUCCGGAACAUUUCAUACGCUAUUGAUUUGCUCCAAUUACUCUAUGCUCCAUCUGUUAUGAACCAAAUAGGUUUUGAAUGACAUGACACAUAUAAUUUUAUAUCUAAUGAGAUGGUAUCUUUGAGAAUUCUUGUAUUCUGCCUUGCAUUAUGAUAUCUUACUUGUUUGAAACCAUUUCUUUUGUUCUGAAUAUGCUUUGUCACUUGUUGAGCUGUUUUUAGCUCACUCUAUUGUUAUAUAAAUCUUUCAGGUCAAGUUGUCACUCUUUGAGAUGUUUUGAAUUGGGCUGAGG
rnacentral:lncRNA from 1 species